rnacentral:lncRNA from 10 species
AUAAUCUUCACCCCUGUUCCCGUCAGGCAUCCCAUUUGCCCCGGAAGUAAUUAGGAAUUGUUGCAAAAGGAAUUCAGCCUACUCGACCUGAGGGCAAAGAAGAUGAAGACCUUUGUGAUGAUCCACUUCCACUUAAUGAAUAGUAAAUGUAUGUUCUCUUCCUUACGAUUUUCUUAAGAAAAUUUGCCUUUCUCUAGCUUACUUUAUUGUAGAGAUACAGCAUGUAAUACAUAUAACACACAAAAUAUGUAUUAAUAGACUGUUUAUAUUAUCAGUAAGGCUUUUUGUCAACAGGAAGCUAUUAGUAGUUUGGAGAGUCCAAAGUUAUGCCUGGAUUUUUUACUGUACAGGGGAUUGGCGCCCCACGCCCCCAUGCUGUUCAAGAGUCAACUGCAGAUUGUACCUUUCCAGCUACUGGAAGAGCUAUAGAAGCAAGAAGGCAGGUGAAUGUGUCACUCACUACCCUCCCCCAGGCUCUCAUCCAGAGAAAGGGAGAUGGAUAGAUAAAUCAUUAUUUCAUAAGUAGGCUAUCAUUGAAGUUCUCAUUCUACAAGUUACUUCAGAAAGUAUUUUAAAAUCUCUUUGUAUUUGAUUUGGGUUUUUUUCCCAUCUUAUCCCUUUUUAGUUAAUUUCUAAUUUUAUUGCAAAGUGAUAAGAAAUUAUGGCUUAUACUAUUUUUCUUUGGACUUUUUUGAGAAUUCCUUUGACGUUUAGAAUGUGACAAGAUAUUUCCAAGUGCUAUUUGCUGUUUAUGACCUUCAUCCAAUGUUUAUAUACUUUAUUGCAUUUUUAAAUUCACAAUCACAUUUUUUAGUAAAAAAAAUUUGAUCUCAUAUUAGUUCACUUUCCCUAUUUUGUUCUAUUUUUGUAUUUUUGUUUUAAUUUUUAUAAGCUUAUUAUUAAAGUUAUAAAGAUAAAUUAAUGUCUUUGGUGUUUUUCUUUUCCAUCAAAAGUCAAAUAAUGUAUUCAAAAUGAAAAAUAUUCUCAUAUAUUUUUAUCAAAAUUGCUUCAUUUGCUCCUCAUCAUGGUCUUAUAAGCUAGAUAGG